rnacentral:rRNA from 1 species
GCAAGGAUCCCCAUGCCAGUGAGUACGCCCUCUAGAUCAUUUAUGAUCAGAUGGAGUGGGUAUCAAGUACACUUAAACAAGUAGCUCAAGACACCCAGCCAAGCCACGCCCCCACGGGACACAGCAGUAAUAAAAAUUAAGCAAUGAACGAAAGUUCGACUUAGUCAUACAAUCAAGGGUUGGUAAAUUUCGUGCCAGCCACCGCGUCAUACGAUUAACCCAAGUUAAUAAACCUACGGCGUAAAGGGUGUUUAGGAAUAACCAUCAUAAUAAGAUUAAAUUUUAUCUAAGUUGUAGAACACUACAGAUAAAAUUAAACUCAGUUAACCCCAACGAAAGUAAUCUUACCACAUCUGAACACACGAAAACUAAGGCCCAAAGCUUAGUUGUAAACAUAGGAUAUUCAAAUAACAAAUAUCCCGCCAGAGAACUACAAGCCACAGCUUAAAACUCAAAGGACUUGGCGGUGCUUUAUACCCACCUAGAGGAGCCUGUUUCAUAAUCGAUAAACCCCGAUAAACCUUACCGCCCCUCGCUAAUCCAGUCUAUAUACCGCCAUCUUCAGCAAACCCUAAAAAGGAUGAACAGUGAGCAUAAUCAUGAAACCAUAAAAACGUUAGGUCAAGGUGUAACCCAUGGGGCGGGGAAAAUGGGCUACAUUUUCUUGUUAAGAACAGUUCUACGAUUACCAUUAUGAAAUCUAAUGGUCUAAGGAGGAUUUAGUAGUAAAUUAAGAAUAGAGAGCAUUAUUG